rnacentral:rRNA from 1 species
CCUACGGAGAGCUGCAGUGGGGAAUAUUGGACAAUGGGCGAAAGCCUGAUCCAGCCAUGCCGCGUGUGUGAAGAAGGCCUUCGGGUUGUAAAGCACUUUCAGUGGGGAAGAAAGCCUUGGGGCUAAUACCCUCGAGGAAGGACAUCACCCACAGAAGAAGCACCGGCUAACUCCGUGCCAGCAGCCGCGGUAAUACGGAGGGUGCGAGCGUUAAUCGGAAUUACUGGGCGUAAAGCGCGCGUAGGCGGUCUGAUAAGCCGGUUGUGAAAGCCCCGGGCUCAACCUGGGAACGGCAUCCGGAACUGUCAGGCUAGAGUGCAGGAGAGGAAGGUAGAAUUCCCGGUGUAGCGGUGAAAUGCGUAGAGAUCGGGAGGAAUACCAGUGGCGAAGGCGGCCUUCUGGACUGACACUGACGCUGAGGUGCGAAAGCGUGGGUAGCAAACAGGAUUAGAUACCCGAGUAGUC